UACGGAGGAUGCGAGCGUUAUCCGGAUUUAUUGGGUUUAAAGGGUGCGUAGGCGGAUCGUUAAGUCAGUGGUCAAAUUGAGGGGCUCAACCCCUUCCCGCCAUUGAAACUGGCGAUCUUGAGUGGAAGAGAAGUAUGCGGAACGCGUGGUGUAGCGGUGAAAUGCAUAGAUAUCACGCAGAACCCCGAUUGCGAAGGCAGCAUGCCGGCUUCCUACUGACGCUGAAGCACGAAAGCGUGGGGAUCGAACAGG
rnacentral:rRNA from 1 species